AGCAGCCGCGGUAAUUCCAGCUCCAAUAGCGUAUAUUAAAGUUGUUGCAGUUAAAAAGCUCGUAGUUGAAUUUCGGGGUUAGUAGGUCGGUCAUGCCUCCGGUAUGCACUGGUCUCACUGAUUCCUCCUUCCUGAUGAGCCGUAAUGCCAUUAAUUUGGUGUUGCGGGGAAUCUGGACUGUUACUUUGAAAAAAUUAGAGUGUUUAAAGCAGGCUAACGCUUGAAUACAUUAGCAUGGAAUAAUGGAAUAGGACGUUCGAUCCUAUUUUGUUGGUUUCUAGGAUUGACGUAAUGAUUAAUAGGGAUAGUUGGGGGCAUUAGUAUUCAAUUGUCAGAGGUGAAAUUCUUGGAUUUAUUGAAGACUAACUACUGCGAAAGCAUUUGCCAAGGAUGUUUUCAUUAAUCAAGAACGAAAGUUAGGGGAUCGAAGACGAUCAGAUACCGUCGUAGUCUUAACCAUAAACUAUGCCGACUAGGGAUCGGAUGAUGUUAAUUUUUUAAUGACUCAUUCGGCGCCUUACG
rnacentral:rRNA from 1 species